rnacentral:rRNA from 1 species
AUUGAACGCUGGCGGCAGGCCUAACACAUGCAAGUCGAGCGGAUGAAGGGAGCUUGCUCCUGGAUUCAGCGGCGGACGGGUGAGUAAUGCCUAGGAAUCUGCCUGGUAGUGGGGGAUAACGUCCGGAAACGGGCGCUAAUACCGCAUACGUCCUGAGGGAGAAAGUGGGGGAUCUUCGGACCUCACGCUAUCAGAUGAGCCUAGGUCGGAUUAGCUAGUUGGUGGGGUAAAGGCCUACCAAGGCGACGAUCCGUAACUGGUCUGAGAGGAUGAUCAGUCACACUGGAACUGAGACACGGUCCAGACUCCUACGGGAGGCAGCAGUAGGGAAUAUUGCGCAAUGGGCGAAAGCAUGAAGGAGCCAGGCCGCGUGAGUGAUGAAGGUCUUCGGAUUGUAAAACUCUGUAAGUAGGGAGGAAGAUAUGUGUAUAAAACCGUGCAUAUCUUGACGUUACCAAAAAAGAAAGCCCCGGCUAACUACGUG